UACAAACAUAUUUUUAAGACGUUUGUUAAUUGUGAUAAAUACGUUGAUGCAUGGCUAUUAUGAUAAUGUAUUCCAUCUAACUAAUAUGUUGAAAAGUAUUUAUCUGAAAUGACAACCUAUCAUUUACAGCAUAAUUUAUGAUGUUGUUUUAAAAACCCCAGAUAUUGUCGUUGAGUUAACAAAUUAAAUCUAAUGAACGAAUGCUAUGGACAUUUAAGUUAUGCACUUAUUCUAAAGAGAAAUAACUCAUCAAAGUAAACUGAUCCUGGAAACAUGGGAACGGUUGGUCAUAAUGUAUGAAACACAUAUAUCUUUUGAAGUUUCUGGAGAGGACACAUUCAUUCUAUCGAAAAGGUGAUUGCUGCUGGUGGUAUAAUAGAUGACUUCUUAAUAGAAACAUCUAAAACUUACGGACUGGUAUUUCGUCUUUGUUGGUGGAAUGAAACCUUUGUUGUUGUUUUAGAUCCAGAAGGCAUUAAGGAUAUUAUGGUAACUGGAAGUCUCCCGAGGUCAACACGGAUGAGUGACAAUGUCGCCAACGUUUUUGGUGCAAGGUAA